ensembl:lncRNA
GACACCAGGCAGUGUUUGACAUUUAUAAGUUUGAGGUAUAGGGACAUUUCUGGAUAAAAAAUAUAUUGCAGAUAAAGCUAACUGUUGCUAAUCAUUCAUUCCGUUGUUGACAAUGUAUAAAUACACUGAUCCUGAAGAAGAUUGUGAAAGAAUGACUGCCUUCACGGACCACCUGGACUUCAAGUUGCAUGUUCAGGGCUUUCUAACAAGGACUUGCCACAGAAGGGGCCAGUGAAAGGUGUACGCUGCCUUACUCCUCCUGAGUAACAGGAUGCAGUAAGAGUUAGACCCUUUCCUGGAUGUGUGCAUGAAAAUGAGGUGGACAAGAAACCAAAGUGGGCAAUAAAUGACACACUGCUCUGUUCAUGAAUUAUGGCAUAUUUCAGUGUUGAAGCUAUGUCUUAUAUUUAAUUGGGCAAGAAGAGUUUAUUUAUUGCUGAAUAAUGGAUACUGUGUACCGUAUGCUAUGCAAUUUCACACAGCUGUUACUGAAGUCUUCUGCAGUUUUUCUUUAAGCUUUUAGGUGUGAUUUUUAAAAGCAUCAUGUUGCUGUUUUAUUUAGAGUACUAAUCUUACUAGGAGAUCUUUAUUAAAAUGCCAAAUGUAAGUUAAAGGGAUGCCGUCAAAUGUUUUAGGCCAAAAUAUGACAUCUCUGCUCAGAAGUAUUUAUCUGUAGUCUGAAUCGUUUGACAGGCUUGACUCUGGAUUUCCUCUCUGCAUCCUUGUUCUUAAGAUUUUUUUCAUUCAAUAGCAAAUAUUUUUAAGGCACCAUUUAUUCUUAAAGUAAGUGGCUCCAUGUAGUAGGCCAGAUUUUUCCAUGCAAGUUUUUCUCGUAGACAGGCCUGAGGUUUGCUGAAACCUGUGUUUGGAAGGUGGGUAAUAAAAACGCUGGAUGAUUUUUAUUUAGCGUUUGAGUCUUUCUGGUAGCUUUUCUUCAGGUUUUCCUGUCACAUGAGAGAAGUUUUGUGGCUUUUUUACUCUCUGAAAGAGGACUAAGAGGAGGAGCGAGAACCUGUAGUUUCAAGACGAAAGGCUAAUGUUUACUUCUCACAGGGGAGAGCAUUUAAGCAGAAUUUGUUUCAGUAGAGCAAAUGCUCCAACAGGUAAAGAUGCAACAAGUGGACAUGAGCGCAGCUGUUGGAAGGAACUGUUCAAGUAAAGGAACCCAUUGUGUCACCUAGAUGAGGAAGUCUUUUCCACCUCAGGGGCUGUGCGCAGAACACAGUAAAGAAGCUGUUCUUGUUACAGAGCUGUUGCGUGACUGUCCCAGACCAUUUAUUACUGGAGUCACGGGACCCCGGUGUAGGACUUCCCACGAGCAUAGGUUUUUGCAAGACACUUAAGCGCUUGAUACCCUCAUUUGUAAAGAACCUGUUCAUGUGAGGUAUGCCUUCAAUGCUGAUAAAUCUGUUUGCCUACAGAGGUUCAUUCAGGUGUCCUGUUGCAUUGGGCCUUUGGUUAAAAGACCAUCCCCCGCAAUACAAUUAAGAGAAAUAUUUAAAGUGUGUAUAAAGUGUAAAUAUUAAAGAGUGCAUAAAAAGUCAGCGUAUCUAAUUGGGUGUUUUUCCUGGGUGCUAGAAUAAGGAAGGGUAACUUGUUUUUUGUUAGGCAGGGAUUAAUGCAGAGGAAAGAAUACAGUUAUUUUAAGAAAAUGACAUAAUUCCUUUAUUCAGCAUUACUCAAUGCUGCUUUAUGAAAAGUCACUAAGAUUUGCACGGUAAGAAAUAGCACCACGACAAAAGCCUGAAUUUGCUCUUUUUAAAAAUUGAAAUUGCACUUUAGUUUUAAUUAUACUCAGACACUUACAUUGCACCUUGUUCAGAAACAUCUUCUGGUUUUAGCUGCCAGAGAAUUGCAAACCCCAUUCACAUCAAAUUUCACCUUCCACGUGGGGGAAAAAGAGAUUUGUGUAUCCCAGCAUCUGUGCAGUUACAGAGGUGUAAACAGUUAUGUACUGGAAUGUUUCUUGAUGCUUUUUUUUCCUUUUAUAACCUCAGGAAUUAAAAAAAAAUAAACUUCUUUAUCAUCG